rnacentral:rRNA from 1 species
GUGCCAGCAGCCGCGGUAAUACGUAGGGUGCGAGCGUUGUCCGGAAUUACUGGGCGUAAAGAGCUCGUAGGUGGUUUGUCGCGUCGUUUGUGUAAGCCCGCAGCUUAACUGCGGGACUGCAGGCGAUACGGGCAUAACUUGAGUGCUGUAGGGGAGACUGGAAUUCCUGGUGUAGCGGUGAAAUGCGCAGAUAUCAGGAGGAACACCGAUGGCGAAGGCAGGUCUCUGGGCAGUAACUGACGCUGAGGAGCGAAAGCAUGGGUAGCGAACAGGAUUAGAUACCCUGGUAGUCCAUGCCGUAAACGGUGGGCGCUAGGUGUGGGGGUUUUAUUUACGAUUCCCGUGCCGUAGCUAACGCAUUAAGCGCCCCGCCUGGGGAGUACGGCCGCAAGGCUAAAACUCAAAGGAAUUGACGGGGGCCCGCACAAGCGGCGGAGCAUGUGGAUUAAUUCGAUGCAACGCGAAGAACCUUACCUGGGCUUGACAUACACCGGAUCGGGCUAGAGAUAGUCUUUCCCUUUGUGGCUGGUGUACAGGUGGUGCAUGGUUGUCGUCAGCUCGUGUCGUGAGAUGUUGGGUUAAGUCCCGCAACGAGCGCAACCCUUGUCUUAUGUUGCCAGCACGUUAUGGUGGGGACUCGCGAGAGACUGCCGGGGUUAACUCGGAGGAAGGUGGGGAUGACGUCAAAUCAUCAUGCCCCUUAUGUCCAGGGCUUCACACAUGCUACAAUGGUCGGUACAGUGGGUUGCGAUGCCGUGAGGUGGAGCUAAUCCCUUAAAGCCGGUCUCAGUUCGGAUUGGAGUCUGCAACUCGACUCCAUGAAGUCGGAGUCGCUAGUAAUCGCAGAUCAGCAACGCUGCGGUGAAUACGUUCCCGGGCCUUGUACACACCGCCCGUCACGUCAUGAAAGUUGGUAACACCCGAAGCCAGUGGCCCAAACUUGUUAGGGAGCUGUCGAAGGUGGGAUUGGCGAUUGGGACGAAGUCGUAACAAGGUA